GCCCGCCCUUUCGUUCCCCGCGCACGGCCGGUGCUCGGUGUCGUGCUUGCUGCCGGUAACGGCGGGUAACGGCGCCCGCCCGCAGCUGUGGCUGGGCUGAGGGCGAGCGGGGGGGGCGGGGGCACGUAAAACCUGCUGAGGGGAGAAAAGCGUUUUAAAACCUCCGCCGCGGCCUUCACCCGCCCCCCGUGAGGGUCGCGGCGGAGCGGGAUGAGGGGUGGGAGAAGCGAGGCGUGCGCGAGGAAGGAAGGAAGGAAGGAAGGAAGCAAGCAAGCAAGCAAGCAAGGUUACCCUGUUUUAUAACUGCAGUCAAAAUGUUGAGAGGCUGGUCUGAGGGCAGCAGCUCACUUCGUGCUGAAUUCUCUUCUUGAAGCAGUGAUACUCCGUGGUUUAGUUCACCUCAGCUUUGAAAGCAAUUUUCCUCCUUUCCUGAUAUGGUUCUGCGUAGCAUCCUGCACUGUAUACAGUUUCUGGGUGUUCCAGUCACUACUGACAAAACGUAACAUAUCAUCUGGUUUUUAUGUAGCCUGCUAAGUUUACCAGGAAAAGGAAGGAUCUGACAUCUGACAAGAAUCCCUUCCUGAGCUUUCAUCUGCAAUGGUAUUGUUAUCGGUCAGCUUUUUUGCUUUUUCUCAUGCGUGCACACAGCUGCUCUUCAGAAGAUGAUCAUUUCAGAUCUUAAAAUAACAUUUCACCUACAUUAUUCAGCACAGCUGUCUGAAAAUUCACAUGAGAAGAAGUACAUUUGUAGUAAUGUUGAAUGUUGGGAGAUUUAUGCUGUGGGUUAGCAUGCAUGUCAGAAGAAAGGUUUCAGAGAGACAAAAGGCCACAUGCCUUCAGAUUUUUGAGAAAUUGUAUUAUUUUUAACCAAUCCAACAAUUGUAUGUAAUGAUGUAUGUAAAAGGUUAACUCUACUUCAACUGUAGAGAUUAAAAGGAAAGACCACAGAUCUUGUGAUGGAGAAGCUGAUGAUGGUCUAAAAGGACAUAUUCUCCAACUACUCUGCAGAUCUUAAGACUAACACAAGGACACAGUAUGUUACAAAAGGGAACUAACGUGUUCCUCUCUUUCCUGCCUGCUUCUCCACUUGGAAGCGAGGGAUGUUUUUCAGCCAGAAAGACUUUGCCUGCAAGGAA
rnacentral:lncRNA from 1 species